rnacentral:lncRNA from 1 species
GGUGGCACAGCGGGGCCAUGAGCUCAAAGCUCUCUGCUCACCUUUCGGUGCUCCUGAUACCAAGCUGCUAGGAGCAGGAUGACUGUGCACUGCAUUUGAAUGUUUACACUCCUUUCUUUUUCUUUCUCUAAAUCCCUCUUCAUCGGUGCUGUGUCUGCACAAAGGACUGAUGGUGUGACGGUUUGUGUAGACUCACCCCAGGGAGUGGCAGUGUUGGAAGGUGUGACCCUGUUGGAGUAGGUCCUAGCUGCCUGGAAGCCAGUGUUCUGCUAACAGCCUUCAGAUGAAGAUGUAGAGCUCUCAGCUCCUCCUGCACCACGCCUGCCUGGACGAUGCCACAUUCCUGCCUUGAUGAUAAUGGACUGAACCUCUGAACCUGUAAACCAGACCCAAUUAAAAGUUGUCCUUAUAAGAG